rnacentral:rRNA from 1 species
CACUCCUGCGGGAGGCAGCAGUGGGGAAUAUUGGACAAUGGGCGCAAGCCUGAUCCAGCCAUGCCGCGUGAGUGAUGAAGGCCCUAGGGUUGUAAAGCUCUUUCACCGGUGAAGAUAAUGACGGUAACCGGAGAAGAAGCCCCGGCUAACUUCGUGCCAGCAGCCGCGGUAAUACGAAGGGGGCUAGCGUUGUUCGGAUUUACUGGGCGUAAAGCGCACGUAGGCGGACUAUUAAGUCAGGGGUGAAAUCCCGGGGCUCAACCCCGGAACUGCCUUUGAUACUGGUAGUCUUGAGUUCGAGAGGGGUGAGUGGAAUUCCGAGUGUAGAGGUGAAAUUCGUAGAUAUUCGGAGGAACACCAGUGGCGAAGGCGGCUCACUGGCUCGAUACUGACGCUGAGGUGCGAAAGCGUGGGGAGCAAACAGGAUUAGAUAUCCGUGUAGUCCCAUG